rnacentral:rRNA from 1 species
CGAUGCAACGCGAAGAACCUUACCUGGUCUUGACAUCCCGGAGACCCUUAGGAAACUAGGGGGUGCUUCCAUCUGGAAGAAUCUGGAGACAGGUGCUGCAUGGCUGUCGUCAGCUCGUGUCGUGAGAUGUUGGGUUAAGUCCCGCAACGAGCGCAACCCUUGCCUUUAGUUGCCAGCAGUUCGGCUGGGCACUCUAAAGGGACUGCCGGUGUUAAACCGGAGGAAGGUGGGGAUGACGUCAAGUCCUCAUGGCCUUUAUGACCAGGGCUACACACGUACUACAAUGGCCGAUACAAAGGGCAGCGACACUGCGAGGUGAAGCCAAUCCCGUAAAAUCGGUCUCAGUCCGGAUUGGAGUCUGCAACUCGACUCCAUGAAGUUGGAAUCGCUAGUAAUCGUGGAUCAGCAUGCCACGGUGAAUACGUUCCCGGGCCUU